GGAACACGUGUGCAACCUGCCUUUAUCUGGGGGAUAGCCUUUCGAAAGGAAGAUUAAUACUCCAUAAUAUAUUGAACGGCAUCGUUUAAUAUUGAAAGCUCCGGCGGAUAGAGAUGGGCACGCGCAAGAUUAGCUAGUGGUGACGGUAACGGCUCACCAAGGCAAUGAUCUUUAGGGGGCCUGAGAGGGUGAUCCCCCACACUGGUACUGAGACACGGACCAGACUCCUACGGGAGGCAGCAGUGAGGAAUAUUGGUCAAUGGGUGCAAGCCUGAACCAGCCAUCCCCGCGUGAAGGACGACUGCCCUAUGGGUUGUAAACUUCUUUUGUAUAGGGAUAAACCUUUCCCACGUGUGGAAAGCUGAAGGUACUAUACGAAUAAGCACCGGCUAACUCCGUG
rnacentral:rRNA from 1 species